AGUCGAACGGUAGCACAGGGGAAGCUUGCUCUCCGGGUGACGAGUGGCGGACGGGUGAGUAAUGUCUGGGGAUCUGCCCGAUGGAGGGGGAUAACUACUGGAAACGGUAGCUAAUACCGCAUAACCUCGAAAGAGCAAAGUGGGGGACCUUCGGGCCUCACACCAUCGGAUGAACCCAGAUGGGAUUAGCUAGUAGGUGGGGUAACGGCUCACCUAGGCGACGAUCCCUAGCUGGUCUGAGAGGAUGACCAGCCACACUGGAACUGAGACACGGUCCAGACUCCUACGGGAGGCAGCAGUGGGGAAUAUUGCACAAUGGGCGCAAGCCUGAUGCAGCCAUGCCGCGUGUAUGAAGAAGGCCUUCGGGUUGUAAAGUACUUUCAGCGGGGAGGAAGGGAUGAAGGUUAAUAACCUUCGUCAUUGACGUUACCCGCAGAAGAAGCACCGGCUAACUCCGUGCCAGCAGCCGCGGUAAUACGGAGGGUGCAAGCGUUAAUCGGAAUUACUGGGCGUAAAGCGCACGCAGGCGGUUUGUUAAGUCAGAUGUGAAAUCCCCGGGCUCAACCUGGGAACUGCAUUUGAAACUGGCAAGCUUGAGUCUCGUAGAGGGGGGUAGAAUUCCAGGUGUAGCGGUGAAAUGCGUAGAGAUCUGGAGGAAUACCGGUGGCGAAGCGGCCCCCUGGACGAAGACUGACGCUCAGGUGCGAAAGCGU
rnacentral:rRNA from 1 species